UCUGCAGUCCAGCCCACUGACUUUCCAGGAGUCCUUUCCCUGCAAAUGCUUGGAAGCAUUAGAAAAUUUCCUGAUUAGCCUGAAUGUGUUCUGGUGGCUCUAUUUUAGUUGCUUGGAAGCAGGUGCUCUGGUGCAACAGGCACUUUUCCCUGCGCCAGUGCUGGGGUGCAGUCAAAGCAGAGAUGGGCAGGCAACUCACCUCCACCUCCUUCCCCAGGGUGUUUGUGAGGUGUCCUGAGGGACUGUGCUGUGACACCACACAGGAAGGCACAUCGCCACUGCUUCAGGACUGAUCCCAAGGGCAGCAAGCGCCCAGCAGCUCCUACUCCUUCAGUCUCUAUGGCAAAGAAAUGUUUGUGGUUUAAAUCUCAGGAAUAUCUAGAGUCUUAUAUAGUCAGUGUAGACUGAAGGGGUGUUUGAGUUACAUGGAUAAAUCACCCUCUGGAGACCCGCGAAGCUAGGAAUAUGGCUCAGGGUGUUUGGCUAGACCACCAGCUCUGGAGGGAACAGGUUUGCUGACAUAAAAAUUGGCAAAGUCAGACUGGUUAUUUAAGAAGCAAAACUGAUUGCAAAAAGUAGCUAGAGAGCAUAAAUCAGUGGGGUCUUCAGGAGCAACAGACAGAGCUAGCAGCUUGUGAAAACUUUG